rnacentral:RNase_P_RNA from 1 species
CGAGUCCGCCAGGCAACCGCGGCGGGAACCGGUCCCGUCGAGGAAAGUCCGAGCUCCGCAGAGCACGGUGCCGGGUAACACCCGGUCGGGGCAACCCGAAGGAGAGUGCCACAGAAAGUACACGGCCUAAGCGCGAAGGCGCCGGCAAAGGUGAAACGGCGAGGUAAGAGCUCGCCAGCAGCCGGGAGACCGGCUGGCUAGGUAAACCCCACCCGGAGCAAGACCGAAUAGGGGGACGACGGCUGGCUCGGCCAGUCCCCGGGUACGGUCGCUUGAGGCGCCGGGCAACCGGCGUCGAAGAUGGAUGGUUGCCGCUCCGCGCACGUGUCGGCUUCGGCCGGCUGAGGCGGGGCACAGAACUCGGCUUAUCGGCGGACUCGCGAA